AUUGAACGCUGGCGGCAUGCUUUACACAUGCAAGUCGAACGAGUGGCGGACGGGUGAGUAAUGUAUCGGAAACUGCCCGAUGGAGGGGGAUAACUACUCGAAAGGGUGGCUAAUACCGCAUACUAUCGGAUGUGCCCAGAUGGGAUUAGCUAGUUGGUGGGGUAAAGGCUCACCAAGGCAACGAUCCGUAGCUGGUUUGAGAGGAUGACCAGCCACACUGGAACUGAGACACGGUCCAGACUCCUACGGGAGGCAGCAGUGGGGAAUAUUGGACAAUGGGCGAAAGCCUGAUGCAGCCAUGCCGCGUGUAUGAAGAAGGCCUUCGGGUUGUAAAGUACUUUCAGCAGGGAAGCGGUACUCGCAGAAUAAGCACCGGCUAACUCCGUGCCAGCAGCCGCGGUAAUUC
rnacentral:rRNA from 1 species